rnacentral:rRNA from 1 species
AUACGUAGGGGGCGAGCGUUGUCCGGAAUGAUUGGGCGUAAAGGGCGCGUAGGCGGCCCGGUAAGUCUGGAGUGAAAGUCCUGUUUUUAAGAUGGGAAUUGCUUUGGAUACUGUCGGGCUUGAGUGCAGGAGAGGUAAGUGGAAUUCCCAGUGUAGCGGUGAAAUGCGUAGAGAUUGGGAGGAACACCAGUGGCGAAGGCGACUUACUGGACUGUAACUGACGCUGAGGCGCGAAAGUGUGGGGAGCAAACAGGAUUAGAUACCCUGGUAGUCCACACUGUAAACGAUGAAUGCUAGGUGUAGGGGGUAUCGACCCCUUCUGUGCCGCAGUCAACACAAUAAGCAUUCCGCCUGGGAGUACGGCCGCAAGGUUGAAACUCAAAGGAAUUGACGGGG